AACGCACAUUGCGCCCCUUGGUAUUCCGAGGGGCAUGCCUGUUCGAGCGUCAUUUCAACCCUCAAGCACUGCUUGGUCUUGGGCUCCGCCGCUAACCCGGCGGGCCUUAAAACGAGUGGCGGCGCCAUCAGGCUCUGAGCGUAGUAGAUUUCCUCGCUACGGAGUCCUGGUGACGGUGGCCAUCAACCCCCAACUUUCUCAGUUUGACCUCGGAUCAGGUAGGGAUACCCGCUGAACUUAA
rnacentral:misc_RNA from 1 species